AACUUUCUGCAAAGUUCGUCACCAGACGACCAAAUAAUUGAGCCAACACUUGAAGAACGGGAGGCUAAUGCCGCUCAUUCGGUGCAGUCUUUCACAGUUAGAGAUUUGCCAUAGAAUGCGGCUUUGAUGUUCAAAAUAUUUUGAGCAAAAAGCCACCCACCUAUUUAUAAUAGGUUCAAUUCAAGCGUUUGAACGGCUUUUGCGGUUUUCCU
rnacentral:sRNA from 1 species